rnacentral:rRNA from 1 species
AUUGAACGCUGGCGGCAGGCCUAACACAUGCAAGUCGAACGAGUGGCGGACGGGUGAGUAAUGUCUGGGAAACUGCCUGAUGGAGGGGGAUAACUACUGGAAACGGUAGCUAAUACCGCAUACCAUCAGAUGUGCCCAGAUGGGAUUAGCUAGUAGGUGGGGUAACGGCUCACCUAGGCGACGAUCCCUAGCUGGUCUGAGAGGAUGACCAGCCACACGGGAAAUGAGACACGGUCCAGACUCCUAUGGGAGGCAGCAGUGGGGAAGAUUGCACAAUGGGCGCAAGCCGGAUGCAGCCAUGCCGCGUGUAGGAAGAAGGACUUCGGGUUGUAAAGCACUUUCAGUGGGGAGGCGUUACCCUUAGAAGAAGCACCGGCUACCUCCGUGCCAGCAGCCGCGGUAAUUC